rnacentral:rRNA from 1 species
AGCGAACGCUGGCGGCAGGCCUAACACAUGCAAGUCGAACGAAGUCUUCGGACUUAGUGGCGGACGGGUGAGUAACACGUGGGAACGUACCUUUUGGUUCGGAAUAACACAGGGAAACUUGUGCUAAUACCGGAUAAGAUCUACGGAUGAAAGAUUCAUCGCCGAAGGAGUAGCCCGCGUAGGAUUAGCUUGUUGGUGAG